rnacentral:rRNA from 1 species
UCGAGAGGCUUCGGCAAUGGGGGAAACCCUGACCGAGCGACGCCGCGUGGGUGAUGAAGUAUUUCGGUACGUAAAACCCUGUCAGGUGGGAUGAAAUACCAUUUGGUUAACACCCAAGUGGCUUGACAGUACCACCAGAGGAAGCUCCGGCUAACUCCGUGCCAGCAGCCGCGGUAACACGGGGGGAGCAAGCGUUGUUCGGAUUCAUUGGGCGUAAAGGGCUCGUAGGUGGCUUUGUAAGUCGGAGGUGAAAUCCCACGGCUCAACCGUGGACACGCCUUCGAAACUGUGAAGCUUGAGGCUGGGAGAGGAAAUCGGAAUUCCUGGUGUAGCGGUGAAAUGCGUAGAUAUCAGGAGGAACACCGGUGGCGAAGGCGGAUUUCUGGACCAGUUCUGACACUGAUGAGCGAAAGCCAGGGGAGCAAACAGGAUUAGAUACCCCUGUAGUCC